rnacentral:lncRNA from 1 species
AUGGGGACGGGCAGGCUGCAGCUGGCCCUCCUCUCUGGGCUCAUGCUGCUGUCCUUGUCCCCGGCAGGGCCAUGCACGGGGGCUGCCGAGGCGUUCACGGAGCCUCAGCUCCGAGCUAGGGCUGGCGACUCCGUGCUGCUGCAGUGCCUCUUCCUGGACCCCGACAGCAAGGGAUGGACCCUGCACAAAGUGGACUGGCUGCUCAAGGCAGGAGCUGGCACGCAGGAGGAGAUGGUGUUUUUUUACUACAGCAACCACGGCGUCCCCGCGGGCCGCUUCAAGAACCGGGUGCAGUGGCGGGGGAACAUCUCCCGGGGACGGCUCCAUCCUGCUGCGGGACCUGAGUCUCAACGACAGCGGCACCUACGAGUGCGAGCUGCGGCUGCUGGAGACCAGCAGCGUCUUCAGGAGCCGCACGGUGCUGCUCGUCAGCCCCGCCGUGCCCCCCGGUGCCGAGGAUGCGGCGCCCCCGGCUGCGUGGCCGUGGUGGUGGCGUUCCUGGCCGGGCUCUGCGUGAGGAAGAGGUUUGCAACCGUCACGGCCCUGGAGAGGAUGGGGAAGAGCAGCAGCAAGGGCAAAGCAGAGGAAGCAAUUUACUCCUCAAUCCCCGGAGCCGAGGUGCCCAAGGCUGAGCAGGAAGCAAAGAAGAAGAGGAGAGCUGAGGACACAUACAUAACCAUGCACCCAUCUCACUGCCGGGACAACGGCGUCUACGUGGAGCUGGCCAAGAGGGCCAUCCCGUCAGAGUGGAUGGCAGAGGGGACCCAGGGGCAUGGACAGAGCCAGGAGCCCCUCAGUAGGCCAGAGGAGGCACCUCCCCAGCCCCCAGAGCGGCAGAAGUAGCUGUGCUGGGGGAUGGCAGCCCUUUCCCAGGUGUGUCCGGGAUACCUUUGUCCCUCUGAGGACUGAGAACUGGUGACACGUCGCUGUGUGCCCCAUGCCAGGGCAGUGCUGGGGCACAGCCCACCCCAGCUGUCUGCAGGGGACCAGGGGACACCUGUCCCUGCAGCUCUUGCCCCCCUGGACUCGAGAGAGCGGGCACAGCCUCACGCUCCAGCUCUGAUCCUGGCCCAGGAUGAGGAUCCCCAAGGGGGGAGAUGCAGCAGGAGCUGUCACAGUAUUUUUCUGCAGAUAAUAAAACUCAGGGAAUCUUCCCUGAUGCUGUCUGU